rnacentral:lncRNA from 1 species
AAUAUCUCUAUCUCGUCUUGCUUGAUGGAGAAGAGACUAUCUUAUGUCUGUGGCACCUUUCGGUUAGUACUGAAAUGUGCCAUGAAAGAAUGUUCGAGCUGCUCGAAAGAAUUUAUGCUUCCCGACUGAAGUCUAGAAUAUCAAGCUCGAGUAGCCUUCCGAAUAGUUACCGGAAAGUCAAUAGAUAAGAGGGCAUCGGUCAUCUCCUGGAUCAUCAUAAGAGUCUUGUAACUCUCUAAAUGAUCAAUUGGGUUGGUGGAGCCGUUAUAUGGCUCCAUCUGCAACAUCUUGAACUG